rnacentral:rRNA from 1 species
GACGAACGCUGGCGGCGUGCUUAACACAUGCAAGUCGAACGGAGUGGCGACCGGGUGGGUAACACGUGGGUGACCUGCCCUGCACUUCGGGGUAAGCCUGGGCAACUGGGUCUAAUACCGGAUAGUGUGGGAUGGGCCCGCGGCCUAUCAGCUUGUUGGUGGGGUAAUGGCCUACCAAGGCGGCGACGGGUAGCCGGCCUGGGAGGGUGGACGGCCACAUGGGGACUGCGACACGGCCCAGACGCCUACGGGGGGCAGCAGUGGGGAACAUUGCACAAUGGGCGGAAGUCUGAUGCAGCGACGCCGCGUGGGGGAUGUCGGCCUUCGGGUGGUAAACUCCUUUCACCAUCGACGCGGUAGCUGGAGAAGAAGCACCGGCUAACUACGUGCCAGCCGCCGCGGUAAUAC